UACGAAGGGGGCUAGCGUUGCUCGGAAUCACUGGGCGUAAAGGGUGCGUAGGCGGGUCUUUAAGUCAGGGGUGAAAUCCUGGAGCUCAACUCCAGAACUGCCUUUGAUACUGAGGAUCUUGAGUUCAGGAGAGGUGAGUGGAACUGCGAGUGUAGAGGUGAAAUUCGUAGAUAUUCGCAAGAACACCAGUGGCGAAGGCGGCUCACUGGCCCGGUUCUGACGCUGAGGCGCGAAAGCGUGGGGAGCAAACAGG
rnacentral:rRNA from 1 species